rnacentral:rRNA from 1 species
AUGAUAAGUGUAAAAGCUGGAAGUUACCCGAGCAAUUUUAGUUCUCUGGCAUUUGUUAAAGUUAACAGAGCUACCCGCAACUUCAUGCUAACUCAAGGAAAAUUAGCCGUUGUAUUAGCCAUUGGCUCUUCAACUUUUAUUGCUAUGGUUGUUGUUGCAGUGCUUGUAGUUUUACGAAGAAACAUGGCAGAACCAUUAGAAGAUGAUGACAUUAUCGAUCAGUUACCAGGGCUACCUGCAAGAUUUUCUUUUAUGGAGUUGAAGUCAGCAACUGAAGAUUUCUCAAAAGUGAUUGGGAAAGGAGGAUCUGGUUCUGUUUUUGAAGGACAGAUUUGUGAUAAGCAGGUUGCUGUGAAAAGAUUGGAUGGCAUUAAUCAAGGGAAAAGGGAAUUUUUAGCAGAGGUUCAGACUAUUGGAAGCAUCAACCACAUAUAUUUGGUGAGGCUAAUUGGAUUUUGUGCUGAAAAGUCGCAUAGGCUUCUUGUCUAUGAAUACAUGCCAAAUGGAUCUUUGGAUAGGUGGAUUUUCCAAAGGCACCAAGAAGCACCACUUGAUUGGAAAACCAGAUUGAGGAUCAUCACUGAUGUAGCAAGGGGAUUAGCUUAUCUUCACAGUGACUGCCGGGAAACAAUCGUUCAUCUAGACAUCAAGCCACAAAAUAUCCUUUUGGAUGAGCAAUUCACUGCCAAGGUAUCUGACUUCGGUCUUGCCAAGCUAAUUGAUCGCGAGCAGGGCAGUGUCAUGACUAGAUUGAGAGGCACACCAGGUUACUUGGCUCCUGAGUGGUUGACAUCUGUGAUCAACGAAAAGGUUGAUGUGUAUAGCUUUGGCAUUGUUAUCAUGGAAAUUAUUUGCGGUAGAAGUAAUUUGGAUUAUUCACAGCCUGAAGAAAGCCGUCAUCUCAUCAGCAUGCUGCAGGACAAGGCCAAAACUGACAAGCUGUUGGACCUUAUCAAUCCGCGCUUCACUGAUAUGCAAUGUCAUUUGGAUGAAGUGUCGCGCAUGAUGAAUCUGGCAAUGUGGUGCCUGCAGGUUGACAGCCGUCGGCGGCCUUCCAUGACCGAAGCCGUCAAAUUCCUGGAUGGUGCAAUGGAUGUCGAAACCGAACUUGAUUUGGACCUGGUAAAUCUGGAACUAAUGGUGGCAAAUAGAGCGGUCCGUGGGAACUUUGCCGCAACUCUGCAGAUAGACUCCGUCCUUUCAGGACCAAGGUGA